AGUUGUAAAAAAUAUUUCUUUAAUUUUUUUUCAAACCAUAAAAUCAAGUCGAACGUGCUUUUAGCCUCAAGCGCCCCCUAAAACCUCCCCUUUAUGUCAAUUCCAUGACAGGAGCAAGUUGCGUCGGAUUUAUGACACGUCAGGGUUAUUAGACACGGCUUUUUACAAAUGAUGUCUAAUCCUGAAAGCUGAAACUUGGCACUUUGUAAUCCGGAGCUGACCGCAUGAAUUUGCCGCCCUCUCUUAAGAUUGUACGGUGUUAUUAACCCUUCAGGACAAAGGAAGUAUCUGUAAUCGGGAUGGAAAUGUAGGUUACGAUGUUGCCGACUAACUGAUUAAACUGAUACGUCUUUACGAGAAGAGGGAAAGGUGGAAGUCGGGGUUGGAGACCCACAUACUUGCUUAUAGCAGACAGACUUAUUUUAGAAAUUAUAAAAAAUAUACAACUUUUUGAUGGCCUUAGCAGCAAUAUACCAGGUGAAUAAAAAGUAUGGAACCAAACGUUUAUUGCUUA